UACGUAGGGCGCAAGCGUUGUCCGGAAUUAUUGGGCGUAAAGAGCUCGUAGGCGGUCUGUUACGUCUGCUGUGAAAACCCGGGGCUUAACCCUGGGCUUGCAGUGGAUACGGGCAGACUAGAGGCAGGUAGGGGAGAAUGGAAUUCCCGGUGUAGCGGUGAAAUGCGCAGAUAUCGGGAGGAACACCGGUGGCGAAGGCGGGUCUCUGGGCAGCUACUGACGCUGAGGAGCGAAAGCGUGGGGAGCGAACAGG
rnacentral:rRNA from 1 species